UAUGAAUGAUGAUCUUUUUUAUCUGCUAAAAAAGUCAUGUGGACUACCAAAUAUACGAGCUUUUUAAUUCUGACUUAG